rnacentral:rRNA from 1 species
GACAGAGGGGGCAAGCGUUGCUCGGAAUCACUGGGCGUAAAGGGCGCGUAGGCGGGAUGGCAAGUCGGUCGUGAAAUCCUUCGGCUCAACCGAAGAACGUCGGCCGAUACUGCCGUUCUUGAGGGAUGCAGAGGAGAUUGGAAUUCCCGGUGUAGCGGUGAAAUGUGUAGAGAUCGGGAGGAACACCGGUGGCGAAGGCAGGUCUCUGGGCCAUAACUGACGCUGAGAAGCGAAAGCAUGGGGAGCGAACAGG